rnacentral:lncRNA from 1 species
UGGCCUGUCUGGCCAGAACCUUAUCUCGCGUUGGUAGCCUGGCGACAGGUUGCAGAUAAUUCGCCACAAGCCCACGUGGGGAGCCUGGAGACAAGUUGUGGAUAAAACGGUACAACGCUCCGACUAGAAGCCCACGUGAGGAGCCGGACGGCAGGUUGCAGGCAAUUCGCUACACCUGGCCAGCUAAACGCCCACGUGGGGAGCCCGGAGACGGGUUGUAGAAAUCCGUACAACUGCCCGACUAGAAGCCCACGUGGAGAGCCUGUUGGGAACAAAAACCAAAAACUCCACACACUCCUCACUCACUCACACACGCUCUAUUCACGUUGCCUAGAACAAAAGGCCAAGAUAAUGAGAAGCUCAA